rnacentral:pre_miRNA from 1 species
UCCUCAUUUCACGUGCUCCCUCACCAGUCAGAGAGGCGAGAGAGUGUGUGAAAUGAAGAGA